GAACUCAAUUUUUAAUAGAUGAUAGAUAUUUAUAGAUAAAUAAAUAUAUUUCAUAUCUCUAACCACUCUGAGGGCCUAGAAAUAGUGAUAACUCAUAGCAACAAGCACAGCCAGAACAAGAGCUUGGUUGCUAAAUACCAUUCUUCAAUAAAAUUCUCCAAUAAAAGGAAGCAGGGAUCCUUGGAGAAAUGGCUGAUUCUAAAACUGGGGGGAAGAACAGCACAAAAUAAGCUUGGAGCACCUCAUAGUGCCAGAAAGCAAGGAAGUGCUCAAAAAAGAAAAAAAAAAGGAAAAUACAGGGAUAUGUCAAAAGGGUAGAGAAAAGAAUCUAAAAGCUCUCCCAAUGGCCAAACCUGGAAAAAUUUGAACACAAUACGAAGAAUAUAGUAGUGAAUUACAACCCAAAGAAUAAAAAAAAAUCUGAGUUUACACCAAUAUAAAUAAUUUUAUAAAUAAAUGGAGAAGGAACAAAUCUUUCUUACAGAAUAAUUCCAAAUAUGUGUAACUAUUCCCUCCUUCAAAACUAAGACUAAAUUUAUCUUCCCUUGAGAAUUGGCUUGACUUACUGACUAACUUCCAAAGAAUCAAUUAAGGAAAGGAAAAACAGAAUGACUUUACAAUGGAGAAACCUGGCUGGUGUCACCUUACGCAAGUGGUCAUAAUUAACAUCAUCAGUAAUACAUCAUAUUGAUAUCAUGUGACACCUCAUAUGAUGUGAUUACAUGGGCACAUUUCCUGUGAUAUUCUUAAAAAAAAAUAAAAACGAACGCAAACAAACCUCACAUAUUCUUUAUAAUAAGAAAACAUUAGAAAAUUCCAAAUUAAGGGAAAUUCUGCAAAAAGCCUGACCAACACUCUUCAAAAGUGUCAAGGUGCUGUGCAUUGCUUUGAUGUGAUUCCAAAUCUACUUGUUUAUAACUUAAGUAAAGUUUUUUUUAAUCCACUUGUUUAUGACAAAGACAAAAAAAGUUGUGUUGAUAGUGAUGCGGGGUCGGUGAGCCGAGGAGUCGAAAGAAAGAUUUCUUAGACUCUCAAGAUCUGGCAGUAGUGCUCUUUUAUUUAGAGAAUAGAGAUAGAGUAGCAUGGGGACAGGACCCAUGGGCAGUCAGAGCUUCUGCUGCUGCUGCUGCUGCUGCUGCUGCUGCUGCUGCUGCUGCCCCGAACUGAGGGUUAGGGCCAAAUUUAAGGCAUAGGUAUGUGAGUUAUCUCUUUACAAGACAAAGAAUAUGUAAAAAAGUUAAAAUGGUAGAUAAGAAUCAAACCGGAUUGAGUAAAUGGCAGAAGUCACCGCUUGAAUUUUAUCCUCGGCUAAAGACAAAGGAGGAUUUGUGGGGGGGAGGGUCAGUUACAUGAGGUUGCCAGACAGUAACCAACUUAAGUUCUUGCCUCUGGCAUUGACCAAGAGCCUCUAGAGAUAAGACCAUCCCCCCCCUUCCUGGCACAGAGAGGGUGGCAUCUUCACAGAUAGAGGUUUCCCUUAGAAAUGUAAAUGUUUCCCAACAAAGGGGCAAACAAAUUCCACUCCUUGGAGCCUGAAUCUCAUCUGUAGUUUUAAAACUAACCAGCCUAAAAAUCCUCAUCAUAAGCCAUUUUAAAAUUAAGCAGCCUAAAACUCCUCAUCAGUGUGAUUAAUCUAUUAUUGGUUUAAAGUAUGUGAUGUGAUGUGACGAUGUCAGGUUAUAUUAUGUUAGGUUAUAUUCAGCUAUGUUUUAUUCCCUUUUUUGUCUUUUUAAAGAUUGGUACCUGAACUAACAUCUGUUGCCAAUUUUGUUUUUUUUCUUCUCCCCAAAGCCCUCCAGUACAUAGUUGUAUAUUCUAGCUGUAGGUCCUUCUCCUUGUGCUAUGUGGGACACUGCCUCAGCGUGGCCUGAUGAGCUGUGCCUG
ensembl:lncRNA